rnacentral:rRNA from 1 species
AGCAUAUCAAUAAGCCGAGGAAAAGAAAUUAACAAAGAUUCCAUUAGUAACGGCGAGUGAAGUUGGAACAGCUCAAAUUUGAAAUCCCCUCGGGGAGUUGUAAUUUGUAGAGGUACUAUCGGGAAUAAAAUUUGCUACAAGUCCCUUGGAAUAGGGCGUCAGAGAGGGUGAGAAUCCCGUUCUAGCUUAUUUUCAUAACCGUGCGAGGUACUUUCUAAGAGUCGGAUUGUUUGGGAAUGCAGUCCAAAAUGGGUGGUAAAUCUCAUCUAAAGCUAAAUACAGGCAGGAGACCGAUAGCGAACAAGUACCGUGAGGGAAAGAUGAAAAGCACUUUGAAAAGAGAGUCAAAAGUACGUGAAACCGUUAAAAGGGAAACGCUAGAGACCAGUGUUGAUGGUUGGAAAUCAGCCUAACAGAUAGUUGGGUGCACUUUUCAAUCACUGGCCAAGAUCAGUUUACCUAUUAACAUUGGAAAAUAGUUGAGGGAAGGUAGGUCGUCAGUAAUGGCUUCUGUUAUAGCCCUCUUCAAGAUACAGUGGGGUAGACUGAGGACAGCGGUGGGUUAAUAUGACCUGUGUUUGUAAUUAAGGAGGUAAUUUCUUGACAAGACUUGUCUUGACAUUGAAUUAUUUUCCAGUAUUUGCUUUCACUGUGUACACACCCCACCUCGGAUUUUGGCAAAAUGGUCUCUAUCGACCCGUCU